AACGAACGCUGGCGGCAGGCCUAACACAUGCAAGUCGAGCGAGGUAGCGAUACCUAGCGGCGGACGGGUUAGUAACGCGUGGGAACGUGCCCAAAGGUACGGAAUAGCCUCGGGAAACUGGGAGUAAUACCGUAUGUGCCCUUCGGGGGAAAGAUUUAUCGCCUUUGGAUCGGCCCGCGUUGGAUUAGGUAGUUGGUGGGGUAAUGGCCUACCAAGCCGACGAUCCAUAGCUGGUUUGAGAGGAUGAUCAGCAACACUGGGACUGAGACACGGCCCAGACUCCUACGGGAGGCAGCAGUGGGGAAUCUUAGACAAUGGGGGAAACCCUGAUCUAGCCAUGCCGCGUGAGCGAUGAAGGCCUUAGGGUUGUAAAGCUCUUUCAGCUGGGAAGAUAAUGACGGUACCAGCAGAAGAAGCCCCGGCUAACUCCGUG
rnacentral:rRNA from 1 species